GUUCAAGGAGAGCAGAGGCUGCUUGUGUCUUGCCCCAACACACAGCAGAAGCAGAAGACCUGAAGCCUCAACUGAAGUCCCUCCUCUCCCAUUUCCACAUCCCAUACGACGUCAAAGAGCUCAGGGAUGCUGCAAAGGAGAUGCAGCUGUUUUUCUUGGUUUCCCAAAAAUUUCAAAGCAUCUUCAUGGAGCAACAGAAGAUGCAGACGUUUCCCGACUAUGAAGCUCGGAAGGCAACUGCAGAGAAUCUGGGUCUGGCAGGACCUCCUUCAGCCCUGAAAAAGAGAGCCAAUUGGAUUCCCUUUAUAAAGAUCAAGCCAAAAUGUGAUCCCUGGCAAAGGAAACUUUUGAUCAGACUAAAAGAACGGAGACGAAUAGAUGCACUAAUGCACCUGCAAGCCAAGUUUUUGAAGAUUUCCGACCCUGAGCAAGUAAUGCAAGCGCUUCGCGAUCACGCUGCAAAGACAGCCACGCUGGCGCCACGUCAUCACCCGUCUUUCGUGACUGCCCAGGGUGUGCCUCAGCGCAGCUAUGACCAGAUCUGGGAGAAUAUUUACAGCAACGUCCGUCUCUACCAGAAUGGAAACACAAAGGAUGAUGACCUUUCUGUGGAACAAAAUGAAAAUGAACUAGCUCAAAGGAGUCCCAGCCAAUGGACUGAUAGGCCUGUCAAGCAGAGAGAAGAGACAGGGUACAACUACGCAAUGACCCUACAACUGCUGGGCCUGGAUGAUGAGGGGGCUGAGCCCGGUGCACGGGAUCCUGCCCUGAUGAGAGGGGCCUACUUGUCCUUUCUGUAUCUGCGCCACCUGCGGAUCAGGGAGCUGCAGCGCAUCUGCUUGGGAAUUCUGAACUAUUUCAGAUCCGUGGAGCGAACCUUGACCAUCAACACUUCAGGCCUUACUGUGGCUUCAGGGGACAUGGUCCCUACCAUGGAAGACAGUUGCUGGGCAAACGUGGCCAAAGAAGGCUUGGGCGCCUCGCAAGGCCUCGGGUCCUCUGCCGAGCACAAGGUGAGGUAUUCUGUCAGUUUUUCUUCCUUGAUGAGUCCCACCACGGCAAGCCAUUUUUUUCCUAACACCUGGAAUACCAACUAAUAUGUGGUGGCACACGGGCUAGUGCUAGUGGCCGCCUCUUUCUCAUUUUUAAGAUCUAUUUCUUUUCUUUAAAAGCACAGUUCACAGAGAGAGAGUGGGGGAGGGAGAGAGGGGAGAGAGAGAGAGAGAGAGAGAGAGAGAGUCCUAGAGCCAGGAGCUUCUUUCUGGUCUCCCAUAUGGGAGCAGGGAGGGAGAGGGAGAGGGAGAGGGAGAGGGAGAGGGAGAGGGAGAGGGAGAGGGAGAGAGACCUGGAGCCAGGAGCUUCUUUCUGGUCUCCCAUAUGGGAGCAGAGGCCCAAACACUUGGGACUCUUCCACUGCUUUCCCAGGUGCACUAGCAGGAAGCUGGAUCAGAAGUGGAACAGCUGGAGCUUGAACUGAUGCCCAUAUGGGAUGCCGGUGCUGUAGGCAGCAGCUUAAUCUGCAAUAUCACAGUGUCGGCCCUGAUGGGGUGUUCUUAGCAAAAAGGCUUUCUAAAAAAUUAUAGAGGGGUGGACACUUGGCCUAGCAGUGAAAUGGCCAGUUAACAGGACUGCAUUGCAUGUGGAAGUACCUGGGUUUGAACCUUCCUCCAGCUGCUGAUUCCGGCUCCCUCCCAAUGAGGACCCUGGCUGAUGUCAUGAGGUCCUGCCAUCCACACAGGAGACCUGGAUUGAGUUCUACCCAGCGCUGGCUGUCGUAGGCAUUUGGGAAGUGAACAAGUGCAUGGGAACUAAUGAAUUCUGUCUGCACCACGCCACCCCACCGAUCUCUGUGCCUCUCAAAAGUAAAUAUAAACUUAACACGGAAGCAAAAGGGGAAAUGGCUUUUUUAGCCACAAUAAAAUGCCGUGUCCAUCUUAUAGUGGGACA
ensembl:lncRNA